rnacentral:misc_RNA from 1 species
UGGAGGACCACGCGGCGUGGUAUAUUAAUGAAAUGGCAGCGGUUGUUCUCGUCAACAGUAAGAAGAAAGGUGCCGUCGGGGGAGGCAGCGAGACGGCGGAUGUUAGAGGAUGAUUGGACAGGAAGGGUUAUGGUUUGGGAUUUUACAAGGUCAGUGAUGGAAACACGAUUACCAACCGGAGAGAUUAAUUGGGUAUUUUGGGUGAUUAUAGCGUUGCCUCCUCUGUAGGGAGCUCCUAGCAAAUUUUGGAAUCUAUAAUUCAUUUCUUUUAACGAACAAU